UAAACGAUGUCGACUUGGAGGUUGUGCCCUUGAGGCGUGGCUUCCGGAGCUAACGCGUUAAGUCGACCGCCUGGGGAGUACGGCCGCAAGGUUAAAACUCAAAUGAAUUGACGGGGGCCCGCACAAGCGGUGGAGCAUGUGGUUUAAUUCGAUGCAACGCGAAGAACCUUACCUACUCUUGACAUCCAGAGAAUUUAGCAGAGAUGCUUUAGUGCCUUCGGGAACUCUGAGACAGGUGCUGCAUGGCUGUCGUCAGCUCGUGUUGUGAAAUGUUGGGUUAAGUCCCGCAACGAGCGCAACCCUUAUCCUUUGUUGCCAGCGGUUUGGUCGGGAACUCAAAGGAGACUGCCGGUGAUAAACCGGAGGAAGGUGGGGAUGACGUCAAGUCAUCAUGGCCCUUACGAGUAGGGCUACACACGUGCUACAAUGGCAUAUACAAAGAGAAGCGAACUCGCGAGAGCAAGCGGACCUCAUAAAGUAUGUCGUAGUCCGGAUUGGAGUCUGCAACUCGACUCCAUGAAGUCGGAAUCGCUAGUAAUCGUGGAUCAGCAUGCCACGGUGAAUACGUUCCCGGGCCUUGUACACACCGCCCGUCACACCAUGGGAGUGGGUUGCAAAAGAAGUAGGUAGCUUAACCUUCGGGAGGGCGCUUACCACUUUGUGAUUCAUGACUGGGGUGAAGUCGUAACAAGGUAACCGUAGGGGAACCUGCGGUUG
rnacentral:rRNA from 1 species